rnacentral:rRNA from 1 species
CAGCAGUGGGGAAUAUUGSACAAUGGGCGCAAGCCUGAUCCAGCCAUGCCGCGUGURUGAAGAAGGCUCUUCGGAUUGUAAAGCACUUUCAAGNNGGGANGAAGGCSAUGUAGAUUAAUACUCUGCNAUUUUGACGUUACCCACAGAAUAAGCACCGGCUAACUCCGUGCCAGCAGCCGCGGUAAUACAGAGGGUGCAAGCGUUAAUCGGAAUUACUGGGCGUAAAGCGCGCGCUAGGUGGUCUUGUUAAGUCGGAUGUGMAAUCCCCGGGCUCAACCUGGGAACUGCAUUCAAAACUGACNGACUAGAGUNUGGUAGAGGGGGGUNGAAUUCCCGGUGUAGCGGUGAAAUGCGUAGAKAUCGGRAGSAACACCCAGUGGCGAAG